AACAUGCAAUACUACUAGUUACAACAUCGAACCAUGAUUCAAAUUCUUUAAAGUGUGAGUGACACGAGGUGUGUCAAUUUGCCAUGUUCAUCCAUCCCUUUUUCUCUCUCUAAUAUCCUCGAAUAAUUUAAAUUAUUAAAGCCAGCCAUUUACAUCCUAUAAAUACCUCUCUUAUUCACUUCCCUCCAAACACUUCUUAAUAUCUUGCUCUUGUGCUUUCCUUUGUAUUCCAUACCAAUGGCCAGUGUUGAGGUUCAAUCAACUGCAACAGCAUUGCCAGAGAAGGAGACACCAGAGGUAACCCAGGUUGAGAAGCCAGCGGCCACGGAAGUAGAGGAAGCAGAAACAGAUGCCCCUGUUGUAGUUGCAGAGGAAAGCGAAGCUCCGGUUGAAGUUGAUACCAAAGAAGCCAAUGCUGAUGAGGAAUAGAAGCCAGAUGAUACCAAAGAAGAGACUACAGAGGUGAAGCCAGAAACAGUUGCAGUAGAGAUACGGUGGAAGCACCAGCAGAAGAGGAAAAGGCUGACAAAGCAGAACGAACAGGUUCCUGUUGUUGAUAAGGCUCAGGAAUAGAGAGCCACCAUAAUUAAGAAGAAGCUUUUAUCUUACAGGGUGCAUCACAGUCCUAGUGCCUCUGUUAUUUGUUUAUUAUUAUGAUUUAGUGUUUUUGGUUCUAUAUGGUGUUAAUUUGGGUCGAGGGUCAACACACAUACCAUGCUGAUGCUUUUGUAUGAUUUAUAUUGUUUGGGUUCCAAGAGAGUUUGAUAUAGUGUGAUAUAGGAUAUGUGAUCUCUAUUAUGUUUUGCAUAAAGGUACAUUUUUGUUUCAUCAUAUUUACAAAA